rnacentral:lncRNA from 1 species
GGCUGGCCUUGAGCUCACUUUGUAACCCAGGCUGGUCUCGAACUUUCAACGAUCCUCCUGCCUCAGCCUCCCGAGUGCUGGGAUUACAGGCGUGCGGCUCCACGCCCAGCCUUACGCUAGAACUUGAGGCUGCGCCCCCAGAUUUAGAUUAAGCCCCAUAGUUCAAGGCCAGGCAACCAGAGUCCUUCCCGAAGCCUAAAGCAUCCCCCCAGCUGGCGAUAUAGCUCAGUGGUAUAAGCUCCUGCCUGGCAAGCACAAGAUCCUGAGUUCAGUUCCCGGCACCACAAAAAAAAAAAGCAUCCCCCCAACCCUGCCCUGUUGGAUCCCUCGCAAAACCGCUCUCGCCAGGGCGCACUCAGAGAUGGGCGGCAGCGCUGGGGGGCACCGUCCAGUCCUACGGAAGUCCACACAGCGACGUCCAGGAGGCUGGAGCUGUGGGGUCUCGGAGUCCCCCGACAGCGGGUGAAUGGAGGGGUCUAUGGCAGGAAGGGUGGGCUGGGGUUAGGGGAGAGGAGGGCUGUGACUCAGUUUCCCUCAUCUCCAAACCCCCAGGCCUAGAAGAGGAAGGGGAGGCGUACGAGGAGCCUGACAGUGAGGAGGGCUCCGAGUUCUACGAGAACGACUCCAACCUCGGGCAGGAUCAGCUCUCCCAGGAUGCCAGCGGCUAUGAGGACCCGGAGGACCGGCCCUUGGGUUCUGCAGAUGAGGACUCCUUCUCCAACGGGGACUCUUACGAGAACGCGGACGAAGAGCUGGCCCAGCCAGGAGCCAGGACAAUGGACUUCCUGAGUCCCCAUGGAUCUGCUUGGGACCCCAGCCGGGAGGCAGCCUCGCUCGCAGGGUCCCAGUCCUAUGAGGACAUGAGAGGGGUCCUGUACGCGGCCCCCCAGCUCCGCUCCCUUCAGCCUGGUCCCCAGCAUGAAGAAGAUGCUGACUCUUACGAGAACAUGGAGAACCCCGAUGAGCCAGGGCCAGCGUGGGGAGGAGCCGGCCACACCGGGGCCUGGAGCAGGUGACCCGUCCCAUCCCCGUGGAGACCGAGGGCGCCGAGACAGAGUUGUGCCGGGACAUUCAGCCACCGGCAGGGGCCCGGGAGUCUCCGGCGCGGUUCCACAGCCACAGCCACCUUCAGUUCCAGCAGAGCCUCUGCAAAGCUGAGGCCGCCCCAGGCAGAAGCCGUCUUCCCUGGAGACCCCCGCGCCCCUUCCCGCGGUGAGGACCUGUCCCACCCGCCGGGUGCGGCCCAACCAGAACUGGGAUAGUGACGUACGCCAGACGCUCGGCCUCCGCCCUCUGCGGAAACAGGCCUUGCUCCUCUGCGGGUGGGCCGGUCAGGUCGUCCUCAGAGAUGCCCCUCUUUCAGCUCCUCCAGCUGAAGCUCCUUCCCAUUUUUGUUACUUUCUGACUCUGUGUAAUAAAUCAGCCUCUGCCUCUCUGUGAUGUUUUUUUUUUUUGAAACCAGGAAUUGAACUCAUGACCUUGCACUUUCCAGGCAGGCACUGUGCCGCUGAGCUAUAUCCCCGGCUCUCUCAGGGAUGUUCUG